rnacentral:rRNA from 1 species
UACGUAGGGUGCGAGCGUUGUCCGGAAUUACUGGGCGUAAAGAGCUCGUAGGCGGUUUGUCGCGUCUGCUGUGAAAACUGGAGGCUCAACCUCCAGCCUGCAGUGGGUACGGGCAGACUAGAGUGCGGUAGGGGAGAUUGGAAUUCCUGGUGUAGCGGUGGAAUGCGCAGAUAUCAGGAGGAACACCGAUGGCGAAGGCAGAUCUCUGGGCCGUAACUGACGCUGAGGAGCGAAAGCGUGGGGAGCGAACAGG